UACAAAUAAAAAGCUUCCAAGUUCUCUCAACUUCAAGCCAUCAUCCCUACGAAGAGUCAGUAUUGCAACACUGCCCAGGAAUAUUGGAAAUGCCGGCAUUGGUUUGCCUCUGGCCCAGUUACAUGAUACUGAUGGAAAUCAAAUUAGUGACAAAUUCCACAGACGAUCAAAAAGUUGGGGCCGACUGGGAUCAAAGCAAAAUGAAAAGCGUCCUUCACUGCAAAGAUUCAUUAGCA
rnacentral:lncRNA from 1 species